rnacentral:rRNA from 1 species
UACAGAGGGUGCAAGCGUUAAUCGGAAUUACUGGGCGUAAAGCGUGCGCAGGCGGUUAUGUAAGACAGAUGUGAAAUGCCCGGGCUUAACCUGGGAACUGCAUUUGUGACUGCAUGGCUAGAGUGUGUCAGAGGGGGGUAGAAUUCCACGUGUAGCAGUGAAAUGCGUAGAUAUGUGGAGGAAUACCGAUGGCGAAGGCAGCCCCCUGGGAUAACACUGACGCUCAUGCACGAAAGCGUGGGGAGCAAACAGG